rnacentral:siRNA from 1 species
UUGUCUGCUCUGUUUCUUUGC